AAGAGGGGAGCGCCCACGCGCACCCAGAAACCCUUUGUGAACUUAUACCUUACUGUUGCCUCGGCGCAUGCUGGCCCCUAUGGGGCCCCCUGGAGACAGGGAGCAGGCACGCCGGCGGCCAAGUUAACUCUUGUUUUUACACUGAAACUCUGAGAAAAACACAAAUGAAUCAAAACUUUCAACAACGGAUCUCUUGGUUCUGGCAUCGAUGAAGAACGCAGCGAAAUGCGAUAAGUAAUGUGAAUUGCAGAAUUCAGUGAAUCAUCGAAUCUUUGAACGCACAUUGCGCCCUCUGGUAUUCCGGAGGGCAUGCCUGUUCGAGCGUCAUUUCAACCCUCAAGCAUUGCUUGGUGUUGGGGCACUGCCUGUAAAAGGGCAGGCCCUGAAAUCUAGUGGCGAGCUCGCCAGGACCCCGAGCGCAGUAGUUAAACCCUCGCUUUGGAAGGCCCUGGCGGUGCCCUGCCGUUAAACCCCCAACUUUUGAAAAU
rnacentral:sRNA from 1 species